GGCAACAAGGCCUAGCGAAUGUUUCUCCUAGAGGAGAAACAACUUUACCGGCGUGGCCUGGUGUAGCCCGGGAGAGGGUGGAGACAACGGCUGUGCCGGGCUGUAGGUCCCCAGAGAUACCAGGUGAACACGACCCCACACACUCCUUGCCCUACUGGAUUGUAUUCUGAUGGAAGCGACAAAACAACAAACAACGCUUUAAAUGCAUAAUGUGCGGGGUGUGUAAUUGCCACUAAGAAAAUGCAUAGUUUUCUGCUGCCAUAUACAUAAUAACAAAGAAAAGGAGUAGAAAGUGAGGAGGGGGUGUGCUAUUUUACGGUGGCCAGGAACGAUUUCCUAGAAUAAGUGACAUUUGAGCAGAGAUCUGAAGGAUGAGAAUGAACCAGUCCCAUGACUAUCUGGGAAAAGAAUUUCAGGCAGAGGGACUCCUGAAGGCAAAGACCUUGAGAAGGGAAAGUGUUUGGCAAGUUCAAGGAUCAGGAAAGAGGUCACUGUGGCUGGAGGACACGGAAGGAGGGGGCAGUGGUAAGAGGUGAGGCCAAAGAAGUAGCCUGGCACCAGAUCGUGUAGGGAUUUUUUUCAAGUAUUAGCCCUCUUUCUGUCAACCUAAAUGAAGUGACGCAUUCAUAGCUCCUGUUUCCCCAUACACAACUGAUGCUGCUCUUCAGGUCUGUCUUGCACUUAAUGGUUUCUUUAAAUAAACCUCACCAAAGCAACUCCUGCAUUUCUUCUUACAUAAGACCCAUUGCAAAAGGUCUUUAAGCAAAUGAUAGCAGCAUAGGAAAUUACUUGAAUUCACCCUGAAUCUUUUAAAUAAUGAACUAGAGCUGUAUAAGAGGGAGGGAUUUACAGGAAAAUUGCAUUCCUACGGCUACUGCUUCAUAGGUAAUAUAUGGGCAAAGUUAGUAAGAAUUUCUAAUUAUUAAUUGUGACUCAAUGGCUUAGAAUAUCAAGGCCGCAAUUACAAACAGUGACUACCAAAAGAGUUCCUUUUUUCCUGCAAACAAAAACUGCUACUGAGGUAAAAGCUAGAACACAGACCCACAUAAUGAAGAAGAGCUAAAGAUGAGCUUAACGUCAUGGGUAAAUGAAAAGCAUCACAACUGUGGAAAUGGAAAUGUGAUAUUUUGUGAGGGGAAGAAAAUGCUUGUUUUAGAACUCUGAAACAGUAUUACUUUCAUUAUAAGUGAUGUUUCUAUAUUUUGCAGUGAUAUACUUAUGUAACUAGGCAUGGUAUCUCUUACUGUCCACAGCCUGUUUGCAGGGAGAAGCCAUUUGAAAUUGGUGAAUUGCAGGGAGAAGCCAUUUGGAAGUGGUGAAUAUUGAGGAUAUUUUUGUGGGGGAGCAGGUUAUUUUCUUAAUAUUAGAGAUGUGGGUAUGGAAGACAAGGUGGACAAGGGGUAUAUUAUUCAUAAGCCUAUAGAAUUGAGAAAUCUUCUGUCUCCCCACAUAGAAAGAUGAAGCAACUUGCCUCCUGUCAUUCAGAAAGUGAAAGCCUCCCUCAUCACUAAGACAUGAUUUUAAGUCAAUGCUAACCUGGAAUGUUGAGCUUUUUUCACUCUGUAUUAACAGAACUUUUGAGCUCUUUAUGUGAUUCCUGGUAGUGGCAUCACUAGAAAUUUGCUACUCAAGGCAAACAUUUCAGGAAAUUUCCCUUAUUCUUUGAUAAUGAUGAAAAGAAUUCCAAGGAAUUUGACCAAGUCUUUCAAAACAUUCAUACAAUAUGAAGAAACAAGAAAUAUGAGCUGUAAGGUAACACAUUUAGAUUCAAAACUUUGUGGCAAGAUCUAAUGGGAAAACUUAACAGCUAGUUGUUGACUGUGGGGCUGUGUGUAGUGUCUUGAGGUUUUGUCCUUCCAGUGUUGGCCAGCAUGGCAGCAGUGAUUCUUGACUGCUAUGCCCAAACCUUCCCCCCACCCCAACAAGACUGCCUCAGUAAGUGUGAGAUGGCGCAUUGGCUUCUAUAACUUUUUAACAUUUUUAGGUGGUUUGACAUAAAGCCACGGUUGAAAAUCCAUGGCCAAGGGUUUAAGAACUUACGCUUUAAGAGUCCAGACCACCCAGGUUUCUUUCAAUCACAGCUUUUGCCAGGAAAGUUUAUUUAGAUUUUCUAAGCCUCUGUUUCCUCAUCAGUAUAAUGAGGAUAAUAAUCUCCCCUGUAGAGAGAUUUUGAAGAUUAGGUGAAAAAGUAUUUUAAAACCCUUAGCACAGUUAUCAAAUGUCUAUUAUAUCUGUGGCAGGACCAAUUUACAGAUAUAACCAAGCUGGGAGGUAUAAGAAAUUUGUUGAAUUUUAUUAGGAAGAUUGAAGUAUUUGUCACAGUUUAUUGCACUACACAGGACUGUGUGGGCUGGUAGGAUAAGGGCUGAGUUGUAAUAGAGAUAAAUGUGAAGAUCUCCAUUUGAAUUUUAAAAAACAGAACUAUAUCAUUAAAUGAUGAGACUGAAAACAUCAUUCUUAAGGAGGGACAUAAAUGUGAGCACAAAAAAAGAUGCAGGAAAGUCCUUGGAAAGGGAAACAGGCUCAAACGAAGGGCUGGGGAGAAGUCCAGGAGUUAGUUUGUUUCUUUCCAAAACAGGGAAGAUGUACUUUCCUGAAGGCAGAAAGGAAUAAAAUAUGGAAAGAGGCUUAUUUAUUCCAAAUGUAGGAUUAUAAGCCAAAAGACAAAGGCAAGGGGUAUUAAUCAAGUAGACAGACAAGCAAGCAAUGUUUUUUUUACUACAAAUCAUCCAGAUAUUUUAGUACCAUUUAUUCCAAAAUUUGGUUGGCUAUGGCAAAGAAAUUUUCCAAUACCUCCUCGGUACUUCAGCAUGUCCUUGUCUCUACAUCAGUUCCCUUAUCCUUACUUUCAAUCACAAAAAGAAAAGGAAAACAAAAAAGAUAUUGCCAGUGAACAGAUCCCUCAUUCCCUUGAGAUAACUGGAUGUAUUAAACUUUGGUGCUUGAAAACCAAAACAGUUUUCCCUUUGUAAGCCAAGAAUUAAUAACCUCUUUCAAGUGAGGAUAAUUAUUUGGCAAAAUAUGUAAAAUGACCAUUAUAACUAUGUGCUACUUUUAAAAAAUUUAACUUAAAACUGUUAGACAUAUAGUUGCCUAUUCACGAAAAACAUUUUUUGUGUGUGUGAAAGGAUUCAUGCCAGCAUUCACUCUUAAAAACAAAAUUUCGGCCAGGCGCAGUGGCUCACACCUGUAAUCCCAGCACUUUGGGAGUCCAGCGUGGGUGGAUCACAAGGUCAGGAGAUCAAGAUCUCCUGGCUAACAUGGUGAAACCCUGUCUCUACUAAAAAUACAAAAAAUUAGCCAGGCAUGGUGGCAUGUGCCUAUAGUCCCAGCUACUCAGGAGGCUGCGGCAGGAGAUUCACUUGAACCUGGGAGGUGGAGGUUGCAGUGAGCCGAGAUCAUGCUACUGCACUCCAGCCUGGGCAACAGAGCAAGACUCCCAUCUCAAAAAAUAAAAUAAAAUAAAAUAAAAAAUAAAAAUAAAUCCCUAGCAUAAUUGUUAGUUUACAGAGACUCAGAGACUUAAUUCCUGAGUCCUAAUUUAGACUAAGGAUUCUGUCCUCUUUGCUGAGAACUGUCCUCUUCACCCAGAGUAGCCAGCCUCUGGCACCUACGUUCUAGUUUGUGACACCCUGCUUCCCACAACCCCUUGAUUGGACCAAGCUGAGCCAUCAGAGUCUCACUCCUGGGGAAUUUGGAGUUGGGAUUCAAAAACAGCAAAUCAGACUUUUCUGUUCACUUGAAAUGAGGUUACCCAUGCUCUAAAGUUAAGGCUGCCACUAUGAGGUUACCAUCUUCAUUCUUGCACAGAAAGCUGAUUUGCUAUAGGAGAGAAGAAUGCCACAGAAGAGAAGAGAGAGAGAAUGUGCGCAGUAUGUGUCCCCAUAGCUUUUCAGUUCCCUCUUUCUUAUAAGGUCCACCAAAACUUCAUGCAUUUUCUAUCUUGAAAAUACUUCCUUAUGACAAAUUUCUCCUUUUGACUUAAGUUAGAUCUAGUAGUGUCAGCGUACUCACAACUGAAAUAACCAGGAGUAAGGGAGACAUCAUAGUAAGCUGAUGAGAGAGAAAAAUACUCUGUCAAAUUACAACAGGGAAAAUGUAUAUUUAAAAAAAAUGUAUGAUUCACCCACAAAGUGUGGAAGUCUAUCUUCAAUCAUAAAGCCAAGCAGAACUAUGCAAGUAUUAGUCAUAAUCUGAGAUAUUACAUAUAACCCAUAGGUUAGCAGAAGAUAAGCCCUCUUUGAUUAUGAUGGACGUUUACUACAGUGAAAUUUUUCUCACCCACGCCUCCUUCUCCCAACCACCACACCCUUCACCCCUGUUCUGUUUUCUUUUCUCACUUGCUUCACUCUAAUUUCUCUGUAACUUAAUAAUUUUGUGAAUUUUCUGGGCUGUAGCUAUAGGAAUUGCUGUGGUCAUUCCACUCUAGCUAUGCUAUUGACCAAAGGAAAAUCUGAUUUGAUAUUAAAGUAUCAUACUGAUGUGGUGGAAUACUGUGUAUUUCCAUUUCAACUACAAAAUACACAACUGGACCAGAAAAUGCUGCAUGAAACAGUUCUCCAUUUUAACUUCUACUCCUGCUUGGCCAUAUACCUCCAAAUGUCCAUAAUUUGUCCUUAACUAGACUUUUCUCUUCUCCUUCCCCCUUUUUUUCCCUGAAUGCCUUAUCCUUCUGAGGUUUGAGGCUGUACCUCUUUAUCUCUAUGUCAUGAGAGUUGAUCAGAGGGAAAGCAGGUGUUUUCCUUCUAGAAAAGGCAGCUGGUAUUAAGGGAGCGCCCUUAUUAGGGUGGUCUUACUUUAUCCACAUACUUAGGUUUCCCAUCCACAUCUAACAGUGUCCCCCACUGAACAUGAUAUAGCUGUCCAUUUGGAGGGGAAAAACAGUUCUUUGCUUUCUCCUUUUGUGUAAUGGUGCUUUGUUAUGUUUACUGUCAUCUCCACCUGUUAUAGAUCAAGCAUAAAAUGAUGUCACAGUGCUAAGGCAAGCUCUUUUGGCUGAGCAGUCUAAUCCUACAAGAAUUUUAGUAUCAUGUGCUUUCCACUCAGAUGCUAAUUCAGCUCUUUUACUACUCACAGGAAAUAUUCUGGGACUCAAUAGCAUUACAAGUAAUAAAAUUUUAGUAACAGUGAUGACUUUGGAGGUUUUUGAAAACAAAUGCGUAUUACCAGAAUAGAUAUGUUUUAAGGCUCAUGAAAACUUACUGUUGUACAUAUUAAUGUCUAUUAUAUUUAUUAAAGGGCUUUUAAGUAUAUUUGUUGAGCAAACUACUUUUUUUCAUUUUUAAUUUCACAAGUAAACAUAAAUACAUAGCAAUUGUGGAAAAUCCAAACAACAUAGAAGAAAAAAUGUACAAAGUGGAAAUUUCUCUUGACCCUCUUCUCCCAGCCCUCUUCAAUUUCCAGAGGCCACCAUUAAUAACUAUCUGAGAUUUACUCUUUCAAACUUUUUCCAAUGCAUUUUCUUACAUAUCUCCUAUAGAUAUAGUUUUGAGCUUGGUAAAUAAAUAAAAUGGGUUAUUCUACACAUGUUUUUCUGUUAACAUUUUUUUCACUUAGAAUACCUUGGAGAUACUUCAUGUCAAUAUGUAUUGCUUUUCUCAUUCAUUUUAA
rnacentral:lncRNA from 10 species